rnacentral:rRNA from 1 species
GGCUACUACAUCCAAGGAAGGCAGCAGGCGCGCAAAUUACCCAAUCCCGACGCGGGGAGGUAGUGACAAUAAAUACUGAUACAGGGUUCUUUUGGAUCUUGUAAUUGGAAUGAGUACAAUUUAAAUCCCUUAACGAGGAACAAUUGGAGGGCAAGUCUGGUGCCAGCAGCCGCGGUAAUUCCAGCUCCAAUAGCGUAUAUUAAAGUUGUUGUGGUUAAAAAGCUCGUAGUUGAACCUUGGGCCUGGCUGGCCGGUCCGCCUCACCGCGUGUACUGGUCCGGCCGGGCCUUUCCCUCUGUGGAACCCUAUGCCCUUCACUGGGUGUAGCGGGGAAACAGGACUUUUACUUUGAAAAAAUUAGAGUGCUCCAGGCAGGCCUUUGCUCGAAUACAUUAGCAUGGAAUAAUAAAAUAGGACGUGUGGUUCUAUUUUGUUGGUUUCUAGGACCGCCGUAAUGAUUAAUAGGGACAGUCGGGGGCAUCAGU